CCCUGGCUCAGGAUGAACGCUGGCGGCGUGCUUAACACAUGCAAGUCGAACGAUGAUCCCAGCUUGCUGGGGGAUUAGUGGCGAACGGGUGAGUAACACGUGAGUAACCUGCCCUUAACUCUGGGAUAAGCCUGGGAAACUGGGUCUAAUACCGGAUAUGACUCCUCAUCGCAUGGUGGGGGGUGGAAAGCUUUAUUGUGGUUUUGGAUGGACUCGCGGCCUAUCAGCUUGUUGGUGAGGUAAUGGCUCACCAAGGCGACGACGGGUAGCCGGCCUGAGAGGGUGACCGGCCACACUGGGACUGAGACACGGCCCAGACUCCUACGGGAGGCAGCAGUGGGGAAUAUUGCACAAUGGGCGAAAGCCUGAUGCAGCGACGCCGCGUGAGGGAUGACGGCCUUCGGGUUGUAAACCUCUUUCAGUAGGGAAGAAGCGAAAGUGACGGUACCUGCAGAAGAAGCGCCGGCUA
rnacentral:rRNA from 1 species